rnacentral:rRNA from 1 species
CAGUCGAGCGGAAACGAGUUAACUGAACCUUCGGGGAACGUUAACGGCGUCGAGCGGCGGACGGGUGAGUAAUGCCUGGGAAAUUGCCCUGAUGUGGGGGAUAACUGGAAACGAUGGCUAAUACCGCAUAACAGCUUCGGCUCAAAGAGGGGGACCUUCGGGCCUCUCGCGUCAGGAUAUGCCCAGGUGGGAUUAGCUAGUUGGUGAGGUAAUGGCUCACCAAGGCGACGAUCCCUAGCUGGUCUGAGAGGAUGAUCAGCCACACUGGAACUGAGACACGGUCCAGACUCCUACGGGAGGCAGCAGUGGGGAAUAUUGCACAAUGGGCGCAAGCCUGAUGCAGCCAUGCCGCGUGUAUGAAGAA